rnacentral:rRNA from 1 species
GACGAACGCUGGCGGCGUGCUUAACACAUGCAAGUUGAACGGAAAGGCCCUGCUUUUGUGGGGUGCUCGAGUGGCGAACGGGUGAGUAACACGUGAGUAACCUGCCCUUGACUUUGGGAUAACUUCAGGAAACUGGGGCUAAUACCGGAUAGGAGCUCCUGCUGCAUGGUGGGGGUUGGAAAGUUUCGGCGGUUGGGGAUGGACUCGCGGCUUAUCAGCUUGUUGGUGGGGUAGUGGCUUACCAAGGCUUUGACGGGUAGCCGGCCUGGGAGGGUGACCGGCCACAUUGGGACUGCGAUACGGCCCAGACUCCUACGGGAGGCAGCAGUGGGGAAUAUUGCACAAUGGGCGGAAGCCUGAUGCAGCAACGCCGCGUGCGGGAUGACGGCCUUCGGGUUGUAAACCGCUUUCGCCUGUGACGAAGCGUGAGUGACGGUAAUGGGUAAAGAAGCACCGGCUAACUACGUG